GACAGAGGGUGCGAACGUUGUUCGGAAUUACUGGGCGUAAAGGGCUCGUAGGCGGCCAACUAAGUCAUACGUGAAAUCCCUCGGCUUAACCGGGGAACUGCGUCUGAUACUGGAUGGCUUGAGAUUGGGAGAGGGAUGCGGAAUUCCAGGUGUAGCGGUGAAAUGCGUAGAUAUCUGGAGGAACACCGGUGGCGAAGGCGGCAUCCUGGACCAACACUGACGCUGAGGAGCGAAAGCGUGGGGAGCGAACAGG
rnacentral:rRNA from 1 species